UUUUUAAUGGUUGACCUCGGAUCAGGUAGGAAUACCCGCUGAACUUAAGCAUAUCAAUAGGCGGGAGGGAAUA
rnacentral:rRNA from 1 species